rnacentral:rRNA from 1 species
GAGUUUGAUCCUGGCUCAGGAUGAACGCUGGCGGCGUGCCUAACACAUGCAAGUCGAGCGGAGUUUAUGUAGUGGAAGUUUUCGGACGGAAAGUAUAUAAACUUAGCGGCGGACGGGUGAGUAACGCGUGGGCAACCAACCUUGAUCAGGGGGACAACAUUGGGAAACCAGUGCUAAUACCGCAUAGCUCUAGUUUGUGGCAUCACAGAGUAGAGAAAGAUUUAUCGGAUCAAGACGGGCCCGCGUCUGAUUAGCUAGUUGGUGGGGUAAAGGCCCACCAAGGCAAUGAUCAGUAGCCGACCUGAGAGGGUGACCGGCCACACUGGAACUGAGACACGGUCCAGACUCCUACGGGAGGCAGCAGUGGGGAAUAUUGCACAAUGGGGGAAACCCUGAUGCAGCAACGCCGCGUGAGCGAAGAAGGCCUUCGGGUCGUAAAGCUCUGUCCUAUGGGAAGAAGAAGUGACGGUACCAUAGGAGGAAGCCCCGGCUAACUACGUGCCAGCAGCCGCGGUAAUACGUAGGGGGCAAGCGUUAUCCGGAAUCACUGGGCGUAAAGGGUGCGUAGGCGGCUGAGUAAGUCAGGGGUGAAAGGCUACGGCUUAACCGUAGUAAGCCUUUGAAACUGCUUAGCUUGAGUGCAGGAGAGGUAAGUGGAAUUCCUAGUGUAGCGGUGAAAUGCGUAGAUAUUAGGAGGAACACCAGUGGCGAAGGCGACUUACUGGACUGUAACUGACGCUGAGGCACGAAA